CUACGGGAGGCAGCAGGCGCGAAAAUUGCCCAAUCCUGAUUCAGGGAGGCAGUGACAAGAAAUAACAACUUUCAACUUUGUUGAAAAGUGUAAUGAGGAUAAUUUACAAACCUUACCGAAAGCAAUUGGAGGGCAAGUCUGGUGCCAGCAGCCGCGGUAAUAAU
rnacentral:rRNA from 1 species